GGAUUGCCCUAGUAACGGCGAGUGAAGCGGCAACAGCUCAAAUUUGAAAUCUGGCUCUUUCAGAGUCCGAGUUGUAAUUUGCAGAGGGCGCUUUGGUGUUGGCAGCGGUCCAAGUUCCUUGGAACAGGACGUCACAGAGGGUGAGAAUCCCGUACGUGGUCGCUAGCCUUCGCCGUGUAAAGCCCCUUCGACGAGUCGAGUUGUUUGGGAAUGCAGCUCUAAAUGGGAGGUAAAUUUCUUCUAAAGCUAAAUACUGGCCAGAGACCGAUAGCGCACAAGUAGAGUGAUCGAAAGAUGAAAAGCACUUUGGAAAGAGAGUCAAAUAGCACGUGAAAUUGUUGAAAGGGAAGCGCUUGCAGCCAGACUUGCCUGUAGUUGCUUAUCCGGACUUUUGUCCGGUGCACUCUUCUGCGGGCAGGCCAGCAUCAGUUUGGGCGGUUGGAUAAAGGUCUCUGUCAUGUACCUCUCUUCGGGGAGAACUUAUAGGGGAGACGACAUGCAACCAGCCUGGACUGAGGUCCGCGCAUCUGCUAGGAUGCUGGCGUAAUGGCUGUAAGCGGCCCGUCUUGAAACACGGACCAAGGAGUCUAACAUCUAUGCGAGUGUUUGGGUGUCAAGCCCAGACGCGUAAUGAAAGUGAACGGAGGUGGGAACCCUUUGGGUGCACCAUCGACCGAUCCUGAUGUCUUCGGAUGGAUUUGAGUAAGAGCAUGGCUGUUGGGACCCGAAAGAUGGUGAACUAUGCUUGAAUAGGGUGAAGCCAGAGGAAACUCUGGUGGAGGCUCGCAGCGGUUCUGACGUGCAAAUCGAUCGUCAAAUUUGGGCAUAGGGGCGU
rnacentral:rRNA from 1 species